rnacentral:rRNA from 1 species
CAGCAGCCGCGGUAAUACCGGCGGCCCGAGUGGCGGUCACUCUUAUUGGGCUUAAAGCGUCCGUAGCCGGGUUGGGAAGUCCUCCGGGAAAUCUGGCCGCUUAACGGUCAGAAUGCCGGAGGAUACUCCCAGCCUAGGGAGCGGGAGAGGCCGAGGGGAUUCCCGGAGUAGGGGUGGAAUCCUAUAAUCCCGGGAGGACCACCUGUGGCGGAGGCGCUCGGCUGGAACGCGUCCGACGGUGAGGGACGAAGGCCAGGGGAGCAAACCGGAUUAGAUACCCGGGUAGUCCUGGCGGUAAACGAUGCGGACUUUGUGUCGGACAAGCUAUGAGCUUGUCCGGUGCCGGAGGGAAACCGUUAAGUCCGCCGCCUGGGGAGUACGGCCGCAAGGCUGAAACUUAAAGGAAUUGGCGGG